UCAGCAGUUAUACCACUGAUGU
rnacentral:miRNA from 1 species